UACGUAGGGGGCAAGCGUUAUCCGGAAUCAUUGGGCGUAAAGCGCGUGUAGGCGGUUCCGUAAGUCCGCUCUGAAAGCCCAGGGCUCAACCCUGGGAGGCGGGUGGAUACUACGGAACUGGAGUACGGAAGAGGAGAUUGGAAUUCCUGGUGUAGCGGUGAAAUGCGCAGAUAUCAGGAGGAACACCGGUGGCGAAGGCGGUUCUCUGGGCCUUACCUGACACUGAGGAGCGAAAGCGUGGGGAGCGAACAGG
rnacentral:rRNA from 1 species